UCUAUACAGCCUCCGUCCAACAAAGGAUGUCUCAACUUUGACUAAAUUUGAAUGCAUCUAAUGUAUAGAUGCAUUCAAAUUUAGUCAAAGUUGAGACAUCCUUUGUUGGACGGAGGAAGUAUGAU
rfam:Brachypodium distachyon strain Bd21 chromosome 3, whole genome shotgun sequence.